AUGAGUUAUUUGCUAAAAUGAGCAACUUUUUGGAAAAAGGCACAGAUUAUAUAGCCCACGGUUUUUAUGGUUUACCAAUGAGACAUUAUGUUCCAAUUAAAACUUCUAAUGCUUCAAAUGAGAGACUAUUGAGUUAUAUUAAUAUGUUAUUACAGGAGUGAUUGGGUCCAUUAUUAUGAGAACACUACUAGAGAUUUACGUGUCUAUUCUGCCUAUCCAUUGCUAGUCUAUCCAACUCAUUUUGCUGGUGAUAAAGGAUGGUACAGUGACACAGAGCCACCAAUUGAGGUACUGCAGGAGAUUUGUAAAAGAAAGUUAAAA